rnacentral:lncRNA from 1 species
GUAGCUGCCCUCCAUUGAUGAAGCUUUGUUGAAUUUCCCCUUUUUUUUUUUUUUUUUUUUUUUUUUGAGAAACUAGAAAUUUGAAAAUGUGGGAGAGACAACAUAUACAAAUUUUGCUUCCACACUGUUGAGCAAGAGAUUAUGAUGCAAGCCACACCUUGUAAUAGUCAAAGGUUUGGAUGAACCAUAUAAAUUGAAUUUGCUUC